GUUAUCUACGGCAUUGCAGUCUAGAAAAUCAGGCACUCCGCCUGGAACGGCGAGAUGGUGUAUCCACUCUCUACCUAAUAGCGGUUUCCUAUUUAUUUCCGUAAUGUAUAUAUUUAGUUUACGCUUGAUUUGAUCGCUUCUAACUAAUACUGUGAUGUAAACUUUUAUGCCUAUUACCGUUUAACAAAACGCAAUUAAAUUUAACUUCGUAGGAUAGAUGAUCGAACGUGGAAAGAACCGUCAUGCGUCGUACCAGUUCAUCACUGUCACCGCUGAUCCACUAUCCACCUCGAAUUUAAUUUGCUUUUCAUUGACUCGUAAAGUGCAGUAAAAUUUGUUUCGAAAUUGGGGAUGCUCGAGUUGUAAUAUGUCCUCCAAUUGAUUUUCCUGUUCCUUUGUUUUGAAACAUACUCUCUUUAAAUGCCCGUUUCUGCCACAGCCAGAACAAUGAACUUCCUUACUAAGUGUACAUUGUGAGGCCAAAUGACCUCGACCGCAUCUGAAACAUGUUAUUUGUUUACUAGUGUAAUCUUUCGAAUAGUUUGCAUUAUGCUGGCCGUAUUAUAAGUAAAGUGGGAACGAGCGCGCGCCGAUUCUGUCUGAUCUCGCGCGGUGCGCUACGGCAUCGCCAUCUGCUUUCUUCCUUGGUUAUAAUAGCGCGCUUAUUUGGAUUACAAUAGUGCGCAUAUUCGAAUAUUAUUAUCCUUACGUACGCGCGACCUUUCUGUCCCGUAUUAAAACAAAAAUUAUUAGCGUUACCAGCGUGAUUGAAAUUUGUAGACUUCCCUUUUUGAAUAUUUUUGCAGCUUGUUUCCCUCUGUCUCCCGUGGUUGGUUCGCUCCUGCUUGAACGACAUCCACCUGGGCUGUAGGUUGUACCAAUGCGCCUUGUAGUGAGGCUGACCCCCUCUCCGAAAGUUCCGUCGUUGUGGAAGCUACCUUCAAUGCCUCGUCGUACGUUAAAUCCUUUUUUUCCAAUAGCCGUGUCUGUAUUUUCUUACUGAAUAGGCCAAAUAUCUGAUUCCUGAGAGAAGUUUUUAAGUAUUCGUCAAAUUUGCAGUGAAUACUUAACAUUACAAUCGCUACACCACGGGGGUGAAACUAAUAUAGCGGUUUCCGGUAACACGGAAAAAGUGGGGCCCACUUGAAAGUGGGAGUUGAAAUGACCAAUCAGAAUGCCUUGAUGUAAGUUGAUUACUCUUAUUUUGAUACAUUAAUUUAUUAUAUCUUUACUGGACACAGAACGUGCAUCUCCAAAUCAGAAAGUUUUAUUGCAAGAAGUGUUAUCAUUUAUGCGAAGGUCUUGCUUCAUAAAUGAAAAAUCAAAGAUUUGCAGCCACUGUUAGAAGAAGUGUCUUUUCACAUGAUUUUACUACAUCCAACGUAGCUACAUGGCUACAUGAGAGG
rnacentral:lncRNA from 13 species